GGUCACGUAGCUCAAUGGAUAGAGCAACUGCCUUCUAAGCAGUAUGUUGCAGGUUCGAAUCCUGUCGUGAUCACGA
rnacentral:tRNA from 1 species